CAGUCGUUUCAUCACGGAAGGAGGGGCGGAGAGGAAAGGAGAUAGCGUCUGCGCUUGCGUGAGAGGAUACGUGCGUGUGUACGUACUAUGAAGUGACCAUCUUGAGAAGGGAAUGAGAAGUAGUGAAGGGAGGAAGAAGAAUGAAGCAAAUCACCCCUACAGGCUUAGGGAGAUGGAAAGGGGAAAGUUCUUCAGUUCUGGGCACAAGCAGACUUCUCUGCUAGGUCAAUCAGCUCUCCCAGAAAGAGUUCCAAACUACAACUGGAAGAUAGAAGGUUUAAGAAGGCUGCAGGGAAAGUCGGAUAGAGCUCAUGACCUGAAGCACAGUGAGCCGAAAGCCCUGCGAAUCUGUCAGAGAACAUCUACAGAAGACGGAAGGAGGGAGAAAGAGAGAAAGGAGAGAAAAGAAAGGAACGAUUUUGGUUGGUUGCUCAAAACAUUUUGCUUUUUGAACAAGAG